ensembl:lncRNA
GUUCUGAGCAGUCAACACCAGGCAUUUGAGCAACUUCACUCAUUUCCGGGAUGACAAGCAGCCAUAAGUCCUUACAGAAGCAUUUUCUUGAUGAAACAUUUUCUGAAGCCAUGGAGCUGAUGAGAUCCUCCAUUUCCCUGAUUGCUUUCCACUCUUCUAGAAUGUGAAUGGGGGACCAUGUUGGAGAGAUGGAAAUGGGACAGAAAUUGCCACUGCUAUCCUCUUCUUGACUUCUGGCUGAGCUAUAUAGCAGAAUUGGAUGCCAUAAAUUGCAAACGUGAAGAACUUCAUUUGAACUCUUGAAGAAAAGGAGAAACUUGGCUUGUGCCACUUUAUCAUGCACUUUAAUUGAAAGCAAAUGUAUUUAACCUCUUUGAAAGCUUAGAAAAGCUUUCAAAUGUAAAUUUGUGAACCUUAAACAAAAAACCGGAGUACAUUUAAAAAAAAAAAUUCUACAUGUAAACCAGGUGAUAUUUCAGCAUAAAAUCAAAAUAGUUUCAUGAUUUACUUUUAAAAAGCGUGUUACAUACUAAAUAUUAUUAAAGCCUUGCUUAGCCCACAGUCAGAUGCUGAAGACCUAUUACUGAUGUUGUGAAUACUAAUUGCUUCCACCACAUUAUCUUUGUUGUGAAGCUUCACCUCCUGAUGAAUGUAACCAGUCUCUGGAUGCCAAAUCAGCCCUAUCAAGUUCAAGUCAAAGGUCUGGCAACAACAGAACCUUUCCCCACUCAUCGAGUGCAUUAACAUAUUGCCAAGUUCCCUGCUCUACGUGAGCUCCUCGUGCUGGGGGAUCCAUCUGAAGGGAGGUGCUGAUGCUGCUGGAAGGAUUCUGAAUUGAGCUGCAGUACAGAGCUGCCUGCUGUUGGUCAGCCAACUGCAGCUGAAAUACGUGGUGGUGGCACAUCUGGAAAUGAACACAAAAAUGUGAAAGGAAGGUGCUCUACAUCUGCACUAACCCUUCUUUUAUAUAGGGCUUACCCUGAGUUUGUCCUGACCUACCUAGAGGAGCUAAAUGAAAGAGAGGAGGUGACCCAGACAGAAAACUGUAUUCACCAUGGGGCCUGGUCUGCAGCUCAUCAGGAGAUAGACAGCAGCUCAGCAGAAGAGGUCACAGUAUUAAGCCAGAGGCAGGUUCUGCAAAAAAAUGUCAGCAACCCCAAUCAGAAACAACUUUCAGGACCUUUGGACGCCCAUUUAAUGCCUGCAGAUCCCCUGGGGGAGACUACACAGCUGACAGUGGCACUGGUGAGGAAACUAGAAGAGAAACAUCCUAAGGCCUCAGCUCAAAGGGAAUGGGAGAUUGGAAUGAAGGAGAAGCAGGGAAGGAAAUGCAUUGAUUUCACCAGGUCCUGGUUUCCAAUAUAG